rnacentral:rRNA from 1 species
CGGGAUUGCCUCAGUAGCGGCGAGUGAAGCGGCAAGAGCUCAAAUUUGAAAUCUAGCGCCUUCGGUGCUCGAGUUGUAAUUUGUAGAGUGGAUCCUUGGGGCCGCUCCUUGCCUAUGUUCCUUGGAACAGGACGUCAUGGAGGGUGAAAACCCCGUGUGGCGAGGGGUGCGGCUCCGUGUAAGGGCUGCUCGAAGAGUCGAGUUGUUUGGGAAUGCAGCUCUAAGUGGGUGGUAAAUUCCAUCUAAAGCUAAAUACUGGCGAGAGACCGAUAGCGAACAAGUACAGUGAUGGAAAGAUGAAAAGAACUUUGAAAAGAGAGUGAAAAAGUACGUGAAAUUGUUGAAAGGGAAGGGCAUUUGAUCAGACAUGGUGUUUUGCGCCCCCUGCUCCUUGUGGGCGGGGGACUCUCGCAGCUCACUGGGCCAGCAUCAGUUUUUGCGGCCGGACAAAGCCGGAGGAAUGUGGCUUCCCUCGGGAAGUGUUAUAGCCUACGGGAACGCGGCCAGCGGGGACUGAGGAACGCGACUUUUGUCAAGGAUGCUGGCAUAAUG